rnacentral:rRNA from 1 species
GGACCCGCACAAGCGGUGGAGCAUGUGGUUUAAUUCGAUGCAACGCGAAGAACCUUACCAGGUCUUGACAUAUCCCACAUUUCCUUGAAAAAGGAAAGUCCAAAUGGGAAUACAGGUGGUGCAUGGCUGUCGUCAGCUCGUGUCGUGAGAUGUUGGGUUAAGUCCCGCAACGAGCGCAACCCUUAUCUUUUGUUACUGAAUUUAUUCAAACUAGAGAGACUGCCGGUGAUAAAUCGGAGGAAGGUGAGGAUGACGUCAAGUCAGCAUGCCCCUUACGAUCUGGGCUACACACGUGCUACAAUGGUAGUGACAAUGGGUUAAUCCCAAAAAGCUAUCUCAG